GCCCCGCCGGCACCGUGGAGGUACCGGGCGCGGCGCGGGGAUCCCCCCGGGGAGGCCGCGCACCCCGCGGGCGGGGCCCCGCGCAGAGCCGCCGCUGCGCUCCGCGGCCGCGCCCCGACGUCCCCCCGCUUCGGCCCCCCCGGUUUCGUUUCGCGACGGAUCGUUGGGCUCCAGAGAAGAAGGCUACUGGAAAAACCUGCUGCACAAACCUUUGGUUAAACUACGGAUUUAUUGUCUGCUCUGAAUAUCUGGUAUUUUCGGAGACUCCUCCAGAAUUUGCAAUUUAUCUCGGAGCACAAAUCAGUGCCCUGUUCCCUCCGAAAGCUUUCCCCAGUGUUUUCCACAGUGCUCAAGUGAAUUAGGAGCCCAAAUCCUGUUUUCAAAAGUGAGGGACGGCAAAAUCCAGAACCGGAGCGAGGCAGCGCAAGAGCAGCCUCCCGCCGCUCCGGUUUCGUGCCCCGAGCAGAGCCCCGGGAGCAGGAGCAGAGCCGCCAGCGGCCUAGCUCGGCUGCUGCGAAGGCCGCGCGGGCCGGGGAGGCCUCCCCCGACGGCUGCUCGUGCGUUUGCAGCGUCAACUCGUCCCGAGCAAGUCUCCUUAGUCACAUCAGACCCUUCUCCAAAAGACCCGGGAAUGGGAGGUCUGGUGAACAAAUGUGCCUUCAAGAAGGAACUGGGGUCCCCGAUGCUGCCGGAUUUCAGGUGAAACAUCUGAACUCAGGCACAGCUCCUGCAUCUUCCUCCAGACUCGAGCCUCAGUAGACAACGAGCGAUGACAGCACCGCUGUUCACACAUGCAUGGGCAGGUUCAGGCCCACAGUGACUACCUGGUUAAGCCGUGAAAUGGUCGUCUUGAGCCUGAUGGUGUGGUUUCACACUUUGAAGAGUCUAGAGGAAUCCUUGGACUUCAUCUUCUACUGCGCACCUUAGGGUGAGCAAGCACAGUUUUGUUAUAGCAGUCCCUUCUCGUACAGCACCUUAACAAACGAAGACCAGAAGUUCCUCUUGAUCUGCACACAAGGAUGGGCACAGGCUGAAACCUAAAUGCAGCUCCAUGGAACUACCAUGCCUGGUUCUGGGAAGCAAAAUAUCAUUGGUACUGUGUAUUUGAUUCUUCAAUGAAAAAUUAUUUCUGUGAAAAGCAGAAAUGUAAUUUUAAAUUUUUAAUCUAAAUCCCGACUUUCAAAGAAAAAGGCUUUAGAACAGAAUAUUUUUCUUCCCUAUCUAUUUUUGAAUAAACUGGUGAUUGUAAACCAUAGUUCUGCAGUGAUUAACACAGGAUCUGCCCACCACCAGAGUGCCCAUUUGCACAUUUGAUUUAGAUAAUUUUUCCUUCAAAUUAGGCUAUGAUAUUAAAUUCUCUGUUUUAUGCCAGCAAUCUACUGACAAAGGUUUGAAAAUCCAGAUCUUGCUUUUAAUAUACUUUUAAGAUUAGAGGUCCAAGAAAGGUGCACGCAAGAUUAAAGAGCAAUGAAAUAUUGAUCUUAUUUUUACUUUUCAGAUUGUAAAAAGUAGCUUUAAAACGGUAUCUCAUAAGGAAAGAAAAAUUAUUAAUCACCUUGGCAUUGCAUAGACACAAUCUCCAACACAACUCUGGAAACAAAGAGCAAUUACUCUAAACACAGAAGUGGAAGGAGGAUUGUAACGGUAAGACUGGCAUUCAGGUACUGGGUUUGGUUCGGAGUUCUCCCAGGAGCUUCCAGUCAGACUGGAAACAAAUCAGUGAAGAUCAGAAGAGACCUACCUAUCCAACGGAGCUAUAUGAUACCUAUGCAAGGCUCCUUAGCAUGGGAAAAUACAAACCUGCACCAGAAAAAGCUAUGUCUUUUCCUCUUCCAUCAUCACGGAUUUUUUUGUUCCAUGUGGAGGCACAAAACUUGCCCCGGUUUGAGAAGAAGAUUGCAGACAGCUACAAACCUCCAGCGCCGUGGCACAUUUUGACUGCUAAGCAGGAUCUCUUCACGAUACUCAGCGGGGUGCUCCAGGAGAUGCGCGCACAGCUCACCAGACCUCACAGCACCCCUGCGCUGCCUGCCCCGAGCUGAGAAGUGACCUUGGCAGGGUGCUCCCCCCACAAGAUCACCGUGUCCUCGGAGCAGACACGCGAUCUGCAGCAGCCUCCUUUUGCAGUUGUACCUGUUUGCCCACAUUUCUCUGCUCCCCAAGGCUAAGCUGCCCUGCUUGCAAGCUGUCAGCUUUCAAACCAUCCUCCUCAGUUCCUGCUAGAAAGCUGAAAACAUAUAACAAGCAAAUGGGGGUGUACAACAUUAUAAUUGCAAAUAUUUCAGCUUUGUUUUCAUCUCAACGAAAAGAGGUUUGGAGUGAAAGGAGAAAGAAGGCUUGCCAAUGCAUGAAGUUUUAUGGGCUUAUGUCCCAAAAUUAUAGGAUCUAAGUCAGUCAGUUAGGAGCUACAUCAAUGCUUUAAAUGCAACUUAAAAACAAAGGAAUUCCCAAAUAGAAAAUAAUUCAUUUCUUUAGUAAAUAACUAACACUAGAACAGAUAAUAUCAAAAUUGCUGUAAUUAACGUCCCUGUAAAAUGAAAAAGUGAUGGAAAUGAAAGUAGUAUAAUGUCCAUACCUUAGUAGAAAUGUGUUCAUUUAUACAUUAGUCUAAAACUACAGCCAAAGGUAAAGGACAAUUAGAUGGUUUGUUAAGUGAAACACUUGAAAGUGAAGAAAGUCAGGUUGCCUAUGACCUCAUAAAUUAUUUUUAAACCUUUUCUAUUCACUUAAUUAUAAAGAUAAUAGUUCAGAAUGACUUUUAAGGAUCCCUGAGGUAGACUGAAUUGUCAGCUCCCCUGCUUUUGUCACAAUCUUGUUCUUUUUUCCCUUGAAUUUCCCAUCUCAUGUAUUCAAGAACCAUGUGUGAACUUCAGUUGUCCUUCUUCUCCUUUUACUGACUACAGGUAAAAUUUUGAGAGUUGGAAACCAAAAGGUAAAACUUUAAAAUAUCCUAAUUCAUUAUUUCCAAAAACCUUUUAAAUUAUAAGAUAAUUUUUUUGAGACACAGUUUGUGCUGUUUCGAGAUGAGCACCACCUUAAGCACUAGGAGUGUUAGGUACUGUGGGCACUAUGCAGGUACCAGGAUUAAAAGGUUGAUUUUUAUCCCUGAUUUUUCAGUGUGGCAAGUAUCUCUAACUUCUAUUAACUUAGUAAGCUUAUAAAUGAAGUCUGAAGUAAUGUAUUCAUUUCAAAGGAAUACAGGCUCUUGAUGUAGCAAGACACAUUAAGCCUAUAUUAAUACUGAGACUCUUACAUCAAGAUAGCUAACUGGAGAGCAGCAACCUUGUAAAAAAAACCCUAGUAUUUGCAAGGAAGGCAUAUACAGUAAGGUCAAGAUGGGAACUCAGAUCCCCUGAGGCACUAGACAAGGCUGCUUGCAAGCAAUUCAAGCUAAAAGAUCUGUACUUCUCUCACCAGCCCCUAAGAUGAAGCUUUACAAACUGCCAAGUCAAAUCUUUCCAAACAAGCAACAAGUUAAGUUCAAGGGAACAGAAAUGAUCUGUAUUUUAAAUGCUUGAUAGCUCCAAUAACCUCUGAAUAACUUAGCUUGCAUUCUGGGAUCACUUUUCUGCAAGGGGGUGAAGUUGCAAACAGUAUAAAUUAAAAGUGGUAAAAAUAUUUAUUGGCAAGCAAAGUUUUUAGGAGCACAAUUUUAUAUGUCUCUGUUUGCAUAGCUUCAGCUUAAAUGGGGUAAUAUUAAUACCACAAGAAGGUCUGUUUACAUGCUGCUCCAAGAAUUUUCUUGCAAAAGAAAAAAACGCUCGCCUUUGCCAUUAUUCUUUAUGACCACAAAUCCUGUUUACCUUGAAAAAUUAAAGUCUCUUUUUAUGUUUA